rnacentral:rRNA from 1 species
UACGAAGGGGGCGAGCGUUGUUCGGAAUUACUGGGCGUAAAGCGCGCGCAGGCGGCCUUUCAAGUCAGGGGUGAAAGCCCGGAGCUCAACUCCGGAAUUGCCUUUGAAACUGUCAGGCUCGAGUACGGGAGAGGUGAGUGGAAUUCCCAGUGUAGAGGUGAAAUUCGUAGAUAUUGGGAAGAACACCGGUGGCGAAGGCGGCUCACUGGCCCGUUUCUGACGCUCAGGCGCGACAGCGUGGGGAUCAAACAGG